rnacentral:tRNA from 1 species
GCGAUGGUGCUAUAGUGGUGAGCAUAGCUGCCUUCCAAGCAGUUGACCCGGGUUCGAUUCCCGGCCAUCGCA